GGACACGCAUGAAAGAAUGUACCACAGAAAAUAAGACACAUCAAUGAGGGUUGUGGAAAAUGCACUAGAAUCAACAAGCAUGGGGACUAAUUCAACUCGGAUACCAUGUCUUCAGAGAAUUUUUUCCUGCUCUCCUCUCCCUGUAGAAUUAAUUAUUCUUCCACCGUGCCACCCUCUAACUUGUGCUCAUAUCUGCCUCUAUUGUAGUUAUGUGUUUACAUCCCUGUUGUUUUUGUACCGGCUUCUCCCGAAGGGAGACAUUUAGUCUUAUUCUUCUUGGUAACUUUAGCACAGACCUGGCAGAUUGUUGACGCUCAACAAAUGUUCAUUGACUCAAAUGCGUUCAAUUAAACAUUGACCUUUGAUCAACUCUGGGAAAAGUCUGCAAAGCUAGUUAGGACACUCAGAAAUUCAUUUCAUUUCAAUCCUAACUAAAUAAAUUAUUGAAGUCUCAGAACUUCUCAGUACUUGACUUAGAAACAUAGAAACUUGGGUAAAUAGCA
rnacentral:lncRNA from 1 species